UGCAGCGACGCCGCGUGAGGGAUGACGGCCUUCGGGUUGUAAACCNCUUUCAGUAGGGAAGAAGCGAAAGUGACGGUACCUGCAGAAGAAGCGCCGGCUAACUACGUGCCAGCAGCCGCGGUAAUACGUAGGGCGCAAGCGUUAUCCGGAAUUAUUGGGCGUAAAGAGCUCGUAGGCGGUUUGUCGCGUCUGCCGUGAAAGUCCGGGGCUCAACUCCGGAUCUGCGGUGGGUACGGGCAGACUAGAGUGAUGUAGGGGAGACUGGAAUUCCUGGUGUAGCGGUGAAAUGCGCAGAUAUCAGGAGGAACACCGAUGGCGAAGGCAGGUCUCUGGGCAUUAACUGACGCUGAGGAGCGAAAGCAUGGGGAGCGAACAGGAUUAGAUACCCUGGUAGUCCAUGCCGUAAACGUUGGGCACUAGGUGUGGGGGACAUUCCACGUUUUCCGCGCCGUAGCUAACGCAUUAAGUGCCCCGCCUGGGGAGUACGGCCGCAAGGCUAAAACUCAAAGGAAUUGACGGGGGCCCGCACAAGCGGCGGAGCAUGCGGAUUAAUUCGAUGCAACGCGAAGAACCUUACCAAGGCUUGACAUGGACCGGACCGCCGCAGAAAUGUGGUUUCUCCUUUUGGGGCCGGUUCACAGGUGGUGCAUGGUUGUCGUCAGCUCGUGUCGUGAGAUGUUGGGUUAAGUCCCGCAACGAGCGCAACCCUCGUUCCAUGUUGCCAGCGCGUAAUGGCGGGGACUCAUGGGAGACUGCCGGGGUCAACUCGGAGGAAGGUGGGGACGACGUCAAAUCAUCAUGCCCCUUAUGUCNUNGGGCUUCACGCAUGCUACAAUGNCCGGUACAAAGGGUUGCGANACUGUGANGUGNAGCUAAUCNNAAAAGCCGGUCUCANUUCGGAUUGGGGUCUGCAACUCGACCCCAUGAAGUCGNANUCGC
rnacentral:rRNA from 1 species